UCAACAUUAGUAUCAUUUCAGUAUCAAUGUUGUUUUCCCUCCCAGUAGGUAUAGUACAUCCUUGUGUCAAGAGGUGGAGCUCUCUGAUUAGUUUGACUUGACUUUGCAUGGCUUGUUUUCUGUUGUGGAAUGGAAUCACAUCAUUGUCACUCUUUGUAAGAGCAUCAACCAACAUGUGCCUUGCUGUCUUUGUAAUUUUGGUUCUUCAUAUAGGGAACAUCCUGACAAACAUGAUAACGUCUCAUGACUCACAAAAAGAAGUUUUAGAAGGUGAAAGCGUAAAACUCACAUGUAACUACAGCGGAGUACCUGAUACUCUCCAGUGGUACACUGAAUAUCCCGGAUCUACACCAAAGUUCCUCCUCUACAUCUAUGAAAGUGGCUUGACAAGUGAAAACAUACCAGAGCGUUUAACGCCAAGAAUUAAUAAAAAUACAAAUCGUGUGGAUCUGGAGAUCUCCUCUGCUGAAGUAUCAGACUCUGCUGUGUAUUACUGUGCUCUGCAGCCCACAGUCACAGGAAACACAAGAACACUGUACGAAAACUUCAAACAGAGAGAAAUGUAUUUAACAAGUUAA